rnacentral:rRNA from 1 species
AUUGAACGCUGGCGGCAGGCCUAACACAUGCAAGUCGAGCGGAGCGGCGGACGGGUGAGUAAUGCCUAGGAAUCUGCCUGGUAGUGGGGGAUAACGUCCGGAAACGGGCGCUAAUUCCGCAUACUAUCAGAUGAGACUAGGUCGGAUGAGCUAGUAGGUGGGGUAACGGCUCACCUAGGCGACGAUCCCUAGCUGGUCUGAGAGGAGGACCAGCCACACUGGAACUGAGAACCGGUCCAGACUCCUACGGGAGGCAGCAGGGGGGAAUAUUGCACAAUGGGCGCAAGCCGGAGGCAGCCAUGCCGGGUGUGUGAAGAAGGCCUUCGGGUUGUAAAGCACUUUCAGCGGGGAGGCGUUACCCGAAGAAGAAGCACCGGCUAACUCCGUGCCAGCAGCCGCGGUAAUAC